UACGGGGGGGGCAAGCGUUGUUCGGAAUUACUGGGCGUAAAGGGCUCGUAGGCGGCCAACUAAGUCAUACGUGAAAUCCCAAAGCUUAACUUUGGAACUGCGUCGGAUACUGGAUGGCUUGAAUUCGGGAGAGGGAUGCAGAAUUCCAGGUGUAGCGGUGAAAUGCGUAGAUAUCUGGAGGAAUACCGGUGGCGAAGGCGGCAUCCUGGACCGACAUUGACGCUGAAAACCGAAAGCUAGGGGAGCAAACGGG
rnacentral:rRNA from 1 species